GCAGGCGUAGGUUAUUCAUAGGUUACUUCUUACCAAACAAAAGGCAAACUAAAUGUUGAGAGUAUAUUACGCAGAGGUCCAUUAUAACGUAGCUAAAUUGUUUUUAUCACUAUUUCACGUCAUAGAAGCACCGGAAUAUAUGAAUUGUCCCAAUCACACGAACAGUCUCUUAGGUGCCUGAUACGCCAAAGAACUCCUGAUUAUCGCUGUAACUUAUAUUUUUGUUUAGCAACUUGGUUUUUGUAUUUUAUAGUUAUCUACGUUUGCGCCAAAGCAUGUGAUUGUUCUGGUAUUGGUGCUGCUAACCGACAGAUAAUGACACAGACAAAUAUGUCUGUAGACAUGUCUUUCGCAGACUCCAUAGCGAUUCAUGAUGCAUUCAUCCUUCUUUGCAGCUUAUUUGCGCUGUGCUUUAAGUUUGGUUUUGCCUUAGUGGAGGCAGGCAAGACCGAUCCAAAAAACCACGCCAACGUUAUCAUGAAAAAUGUAGCAGAUACAUUUAUCACCUUGGUUGCCUUCUUUACACACGGAUAUGCGUUCGCCUUUGGGGGGGGCAAUUCUUUCAUUGGAUUGCAAUACUUUCUCAUUCUGGACAAGACAAACGUGGUGCACUUCUUCUUCAACUAUGUUCGCUGUGCCGUGGCUACUACUCUGGCACUUGGGGCUGUCAACGAACGGACAGAACCAAUCGGCUACCUCAUAGCUGCAUAUGUUUUCUCAGGACUAAUCUACCCUCUGGCCUGUCAUUGGAUCUGGGACCAGCAAGGCAUCUUCAGUCCAACCUCCACCUCCAGUCCAGCACAGGACCAUGCAGGUAGCGGGGUCAUCUUCCUACUGGGUGGAGCAACUGCAGCAGUUUCACUGUACAUUAUAGGGCCCCGGGACGGUCGCUGGAGCUCCCAUUUCAAACGGAAAGCGCACGUUCAGUCAAUGGUGGUGCUUGGGGGAGGCCUUCAAAUGCUGGGCUUCUUCGGCCUGGCGAUGGGCGCUCACCCCCGUCUGCUGGGCGCUGAGGGGGGCCAGCUGCUGGGGCGGGCCGUCGUCAACCUGCUGCACAGCGCUUCAUCUGGAGGACUUUACGGACUGAUUCUCCAACGCUUCGACAAGAACUACUAUGAUCUGGACAGCAUGUCCUCUGGGGCCAUUGCUGGAAUGGUGGCGGUGGGUGCCGGGUUGGACACGUACACGCCGGGUUUGGCGGUGAUGUGUGGGGUCACAGCUUCUCUCUUCUUUUUUGCCGUGCGCCGCUUAUUAUGUGCCAUAAAGGUGGACGACUCCCUAAACAUAAUCCCAGGAUAUUUGGUUCCAGGAGCCUGGGGUUUGAUCUAUGCCGGUUUUUUCUCUGACGGUGGGCUUAUUGGUGGACAUCCCCAGGUGUUGACCAACAAUUUAAUUGUGAUGCUAGUAUUACUUCUCUGGGCUGUGGUUAUGUACCCUGUCCUCUCAAUGCUCAUGUGUUUCGGACUGCUGCGCGUCCCCCAGUUCGUAGAGAAACAAGGAAUUGACAAGAUCAGACACACAUUAAGACAACCUAACACUGCCACGAUGUCACUGAACUGA
rnacentral:lncRNA from 1 species